AGUGAACGCUGGCGGCAGGCCUAACACAUGCAAGUCGAACGGCAGCACAGUAAGAGCUUGCUCUUACGGGUGGCGAGUGGCGGACGGGUGAGGAAUACAUCGGAAUCUACUUUUUCGUGGGGGAUAACGUAGGGAGACUUACGCUAAUACCGCAUACGACCUACGGGUGAAAGCAGGGGAUCUUCGGACCUUGCGCGAUUGUAUGAGCCGAUGUCGGAUUAGCUAGUUGGCGGGGUAAAGGCCCACCAAGGCGACGAUCCGUAGCUGGUCUGAGAGGAUGAUCGGCCACACGGGAACUGGGACACGGUCCAGGCUCCUACGGGAGGGAGCAGUGGGGAAUGUUGGACAAUGGGCGCAAGCCUGAUCCAGCCAUACCGCGUGGGUGAAGAAGGCCUUCGGGUUGUAAAGCCCUUUUGUUGGGAAAGAAAAGCAGCAGGUUAAUACGCCGCUGUUCUGACGGUACCCAAAGAAUAAGCACCGGCUAACUUCGUG
rnacentral:rRNA from 1 species